UACAGAGGUCUCAAGCGUUGUUCGGAUUCAUUGGGCGUAAAGGGUGCGUAGGUGGCGCGCUAAGUCGGGUGUGAAAUUUCGGAGCUUAACUUCCGAAACUGCAUUCGAUACUGGCGUGCUUGAGGACUGGAGAGGAGACUGGAAUUCAUGGUGUAGCAGUGAAAUGCGUAGAGAUCAUGAGGAAGACCAGUGGCGAAGGCGGGUCUCUGGA
rnacentral:rRNA from 1 species